rnacentral:tRNA from 1 species
GUGUCUGGAGCCUGGUGGUAAAAGGCAGCACUCUAGAUGCUGAGGUUGUGGGUUCAAAUCCCACCAGAAACA